GUGAUGUUAGAGAACUAUAGAAACUUUGCCUUCCUUGGUAAGUUUAAUUUCCCUUUAAAAUUUUUAAUUAAUAGUUAUUAUUUGAUGUACUUCUGUUGUAUCUUCUGGGAACUUCUCUGUAAGAAUGAAUUUCAGAUUUGUGUUUCAAAGAAGAAGGGCAUUUUUAGUACAGAUAAUUUACUCUUUAAUAUAUAUUAUGUUACUCUUUAAUCUCUCUCUUUCUUGGUAUGUUAUACAUUCUCCACUUUAGAUUAGUAGUUCCUAGCAUACUUUAAUGAUGUAAACUCUUGUAGGCUACACAGAGCAGGGGACACAGCGAGAUGUUCAAAUGGAGAAAACCAAUAUAAAAAAUGUUGGUAUAGUAGUUAUUUAGCAGAAAAAAAAAAAAACAUUUCAGAAGCUUAGGUUUAUUUCUUUUGAUUUUAAUCAUUGAACACAUACUGCCCUACAUUUAUCACAUUUUCAAAUUCUUUGUGAUCCUCCAUUUUCUUCUUUAGUGAUAUCCCAGUUUAUUCAGAUUAACUAUCAAAACUUACGUUUUAUUGUUAGGGCCAGCAUGAUGUGUUACAAAUCUUCUUGUGAGGAAACCUGUAAAGAAGCAAACAGAAGAGAGAGACUCAAUCUCAGUGAAAAGUUAAAAAAACUGACCACUCCUCUUCAUGGAUGUACAUAGUAUACCCAAAAAUUGCAUAGCUUCUGUUGCAAUGACUACAUUCUAACCUAGUAUUAUUUUAACACCAAGUGUUAGCUAACAAAGAUAACGUACAGUUAAUACAAACAUAGAGUCUCUUCUCCCAAAGGACAUUACCACAGAAACUAGAUAGUGCACCUGUAGAGUUGUCUUAAUAGUUUCAGAGAGAAACUGCUGGGAAUUUCAAUUGUGGGACUCAGGGUGCCAGUUUCCAUCACCCCCACACUUUCUAUUUCCAAGGUCAGAAUACCUAAAGCCCCCCCCCCCUCUUUUUUAAGGGCUUUUGAAAAAAUAAUAUUACUUAUCUCCUUAAUGCUGGUGGGGGCAAAAAAUAGGACAGCCAUAGACAACAGCAAGUACCAACAUCAGUAAACAUCCACCUAUGAAUAUUUUUUGACGCAGAUGAAAUUGAGUAAACAUGAUGUUAGCCAAUCCAACAAGUCAAUCAUCAAUCAUCUUGUUGUACCUUUUUAAUCAUAUCUUUAAGGUAAUCUAACUCUUUUGAAAUAAAAUUACUAUUAUCACUUAAAUUGAAGGAACACGUGUAAUUAAACUUAUGAUAUCCAUCAUGAUAUAACAAUACCAGAUAAUCAAUUGCAAUCAUGAAUUUUAAGUAUGGCUUGACAAUGUUGUUUUUGUUCUUCAUUAAGCAUAUUAACAGCCAUGGAGGCAUGACUAAUACUUUUUAUGAUAGCAUAGGUGAGUUUCAUAGUAGUUUUGUAAGCCCAUAGAGAUAGUCAGGGAAACCCACUAAGGAAAAUGUCAGAGCAUCAAAUUCUGCCUUAGAAAGAAGGUUCACUGAAUUAUCACAGUUUUUAUCAAGAGGAAUAAACCUUUUAUGAAUAAUUGUGCAGGAUUGUGACCUAUUAAAUACUAUGUGGAUGGUAAGGACACAGUUAUUCUGCUAACACAACAAUGAAUACCAUGAGAUAUUUUUUCAGGUAUAUAACAAUUUCAUCCAAGUGAGUCAAGAUAUUGUAAUGGGUUGUAGAAGUCCAGGAUCUGACAGUACUGAAUUUCCCACAAGUGGUGUACAAAAACAGAGCAAAGCAUUAACAGAGUUUUGUGUGAGUUUAGCAACCAAAGAAGUAACUAAGUUAUCCAUAGUACAUUCUACCCUAUUUGAGCCAACUCCUUUGGAGCUGAGGUUAUUAAUGGUUUUAUAUCCCCCCAAGUAUUUGGAAUUAUAGUAUCUUGGCUUCCUCUUUUAAUGUUUCUCCUCUUGUGAGGAGAAUGAUUAUUCUCUUGUUUGGAGGGACUCUUCUCUUCCAGUGUUAAAUGAAUCUUACUAAUCAGCUUGUCAAGUACCUGAUGUACAUUUAUAAUUGCUAUAUUUCAUGCAUCAAAAAGAACAUGUUUGCGUAAUUUAACAGUCUAUGCUUUUCCCCACAUGAUCAAAGGCAUAGUACCUUGCCAUGCUGAUAAGCUGGAAUCUUACGUAUACACAUAGAUAGAUAGAUAGAUAGAUAGAUAGAUAGAUAAUGGAUGUUUGAGAAUAAAAUGCCUAUUCAAUGCAGAUGACCAAUUUUGAGUAUUAAUUUUAUGUUGUAUAUUGAGCACAUUAAGUGUAAAUAAAACAUUAUUUAAUGUAUAUUUUAAUAUGAGAGAGGCUAGAUCUUUUGUUUGUUUCUGUUUGAAAAGGCAAGGAUCGGGAUAUAAUUUAUUCAUUCAACAAAAGCUUGUCCAAAAUGAUUAUGAGAAAUUUCAUAAUUUAAAACUAUAUCUCAUUCAUUAAAAAUUGUGCAAAAGGAUGAGAUAUAAAGGCAGAGGCAUUAUCCAUCUUUAAACAAAUAGGCCCUCUAGGAGCAGAUCAUGCUUGGUUUCUUUUAAUGCUCUCUNAGAUAGAUAAUGGAUGUUUGAGAAUAAAAUGCCUAUUCAAUGCAGAUGACCAAUUUUGAGUAUUAAUUUUAUGUUGUAUAUUGAGCACAUUAAGUGUAAAUAAAACAUUAUUUAAUGUAUAUUUUAAUAUGAGAGAGGCUAGAUCUUUUGUUUGUUUCUGUUUGAAAAGGCAAGGAUCGGGAUAUAAUUUAUUCAUUCAACAAAAGCUUGUCCAAAAUGAUUAUGAGAAAUUUCAUAAUUUAAAACUAUAUCUCAUUCAUUAAAAAUUGUGCAAAAGGAUGAGAUAUAAAGGCAGAGGCAUUAUCCAUCUUUAAACAAAUAGGCCCUCUAGGAGCAGAUCAUGCUUGGUUUCUUUUAAUGCUCUCUGCUGGUACUGACUUAGAAGUUUCUUUUUUUAGAUUUAAUUCUGUUAGUAAAUUUUUUAUUGGGUUUUGUAAUAAUGCAUUAAUAAUCAUAAAUAUUUUGAAGUGAAUAACUCAUUAUACUUCUGCUUCGUAAGCUUUUUUUCUAUUGUGAUUAAUGAUUUAAUUUCCAGAUCAUUGCUUUUCAUUGUGGCAUGAUUGGAUUUUUUACAAAUAUAUAUAUAUAUAUUAUAUCCCCUCAAGUGUAAUGUGUGUGUGUGUGUGUGUGUGUGUAUCCCACUUAUCUUUACAUAUCCUAUAGGUUUUUAAUUUUUUUUAAAGAGAGAGUGAGAGAGAUAGAGGUAGAGAGAGAGAGAGAAUUUUUUAAUAUUUAUUUUUUUAGUAUUUGGCGGACAGAACAUCUUUGUUUGUAUGUGGUGCUGAGGAUCGAACCCGGGCCACACGCAUGCCAGGUGAUUGUGCUACCGCUUGAGCCACAUCCCCAGUCCCGGUUUUUAAUUUUUACAGUAUUUUAAAAAUUGCUUAGACUAGUCUUAAACUUGGUCCUGCAUGAUAAGCCUCUCCCAUAUUGGUAGAAUUUCAGAUUUGCACACUUAGGAAUGCCCCUCUCAUUUUUUUCCUUAAAGAAUUAUUCAGAUACACAAUUUGUGCUUAUUUAUAUUUAUAUUUUUUGUCUCAAUUUCACUCUCUAAACUUUCUUUAAAUCAUUAUUUAGUGUUCUUUGAGUAAUUCAUAAUUGCCAGUAUCCUAAAUUUCAGUUUUUAGUGUGUUUUUUUCUUUCUUGUCACUUGGAUUAAGCCAUGCUUCUCUUUGUUUAUAUUUGCUGUAUUACUUUUUUUUUUAUUAAAGGAGCCAACAGUAGAUUAUAUAGUUCAUUUUUGGAAAAAAAGUAUUAAAAAAAAAACUCUUAAAUAAAUAAAAAUAGGCAAGAACAGUGCUGCAUCCUUGUAAUAUUUGCUAAUUGGGAGGCCAUGAAAAAGUACUUCAAGAUUGAGGGAAGUCAUAGAAAUUUAGAAACAGCAUGAGUCAAAAAAUUUUAAAAAGACUUGUUUUGUAGUUCAGUGAUAUAAAAUUUGGGGGGUGUUAAUCUCAAGCACCACACAUGAAAAAUUAAAAGUUGGAUGACCUAAAGUUCCAGAAAUGCCAGUGCUAAAUAUGUAUCCAUGAAUAAUUAAAUCAGAAAACUGAAGAGAUACCUCUGCUUUUGUAUUUAGUGCACACAUUGUUCUCAGUAUUAAAGCUAUGGGCUCAAUGUAUGUGCCUAUCAAUGACCAAAUGUGUAAAAAUAUUGUACUUAUAUACUAUUAUUAUUUAAUUAUAAAAUAUUUUGUCUCUUAAAGGGUUAUAAGAAAUAUAUGCAGGACUUUGCAUUAAGAGAAAUGUGGCAUGCAGAGAUUAAUUUCAGGAACAUUUGAUUCAUAUGUGGAAUCAGAAAUUUAGUGGGUAAAAUUUUGCUCACUAGGUACUGUGUUUUGUGUAGGAUUGAUAUUAUACUCAAAGUCACUUAUUUUUAUUUUAUUGAGCAUAAAAGGGUCAAGAGUUUUGUUUUACCACAUGGUGUGUGUAUUAUAUUCUUCAAAAAUACUAAUAGAAGAAAUACAAUACCUUGUAAGAACAAAACUGAUAAUUAUCUAAAAUAAUAAUUGUGUUAAUUCAUUCUUUUUUUUGUUAAUUCAUUCUAUUUAGUCAUUUUACCUUGUAUAUAUAGUAUAAAAUACCAUGAUAUAUUUAGGAAAUAAACAAAGGUGUAUUUGUCAAUGAAAGAAAUCAUCAUAUCUCACAAAUUUAAAAAUAUAAAAAUCAAUUUAUUAUACUUGAUUGUUAUGCAUUGUCUUCAUCCAAGUAUUAUGGACAUAGGCUAUCCAAGGUUUUUAUAGUCAUUUAAAAUGUUUUAUUGGAAAAUUUUUUACACAUAUAUGUAUAUAUUUCUUAGUAAAUUUUUUGUUCAUUUUUCUUUUUAAUAGUCCAUAGCCUCUUUAGUCUUGUUGAAUAUUUGUUGUAUUAUCACUCAAAAUAUACUAGUUAUUUUCAUGUCUGUAUGUCAUGGUAGACCAAAGCCAGUUUUUACACACUCUUUGAAAAAGCCACAAAUGUUUGUAUGUUUUACAUUUCUCUUGUUCUACUGAUAGUGAAGGUAGCUGAUAGAUAUUUCCUAAAUUCACAAUGAUAUCUUAUAGAUAACAAAUGGCUGUGGAUGAUAAAAGUAACAUACUUACCUUCUCUUUAUUAUAUAACUCUUAUUAAUGAUGUAUUCCUCUUGGAUGCUGUGGUCUCUACAAAAAUUUGAGUAAUAUUCUCAAGGUAAUUUUGUUUGUGCAUUUUUAUUGAACUGAUAUAUUUUUUGAUUUAUGAUGACUUGGACUUACUAAUCUGCUACACUCCUUAUGUAUUUAUUCUACAUUAAUUUCAUGUUAUGUAUGCAAAUUAUAUUUAUCCCUGUCUAGUAGUUAUUGUUUAUUUUUUUUUUAUUUUUGUUUAUUUCAGCCAUGACUCCACAUGAUACCCAAGAAUAUUCACCAGAGAAGAGCAUAAAACAUAUAUUUCACAAAUUGAUAAAUGGGAAAUAUAGAAGUUGUGAUCUUGACUAUUUACAACAAAAGAAAAUAUGGAAAACCACAAGUGAGAGUGAACACCAGAAAUCAUAUAAAAAAUCAGGCCUUGUUCACCACCAGAGAAUUUAUACUGGAGAGAAGCCCUACAAAUAUAAACAAUGUGGCAAAGCUUUUAGUAAAAUAAAUGAUCUUAUUAACCACAGAGUAACCCACACUGGACAGAUGCCCUACCAAUGGGCAGAAUGUGAUGAAGUUUAUAAAGAAAAAUCAAUCUUUAUUAAGCAAAGCAGAAAUCACACUGAAGAGAAGCCCUAAAAAUGUGAAGAAUAUGGUAAAGUUUUUAGUCAAAAAUUAAACACUAUUUACCAAAGAAGAAUUCACACUGGAGAAAAGCUCUACAAAUGUAGAGAAUGUGGCAAAGCUUUUAGUCAAAAAACAGACCUUAUUCACCACAGAAGAACUCACACUGGAGAGAAGCCCUACAAAUGUAAAGAAUGUGGCAAAGAUUUCAGUCAUAAAUCACUCCUUAUUCGCCACAGGAGAACUCACACUAGAGAGAAGCCCUACAAACGUAAAGAAUGUAGCAAUGCCUUUAGUCAAAAAUCAGACGUUAUUCACCACAGCAGAACUCACAGUGGAGAGAAGCCCUAAAAAUGUAAAGAAUGUGGCAAAGCUUUCAGUAGAAAAGUAGGACUUACUUACCACAGAAGAACUCACACUGGAGAGAAUCCCUACAAAUGUAAAGAUUGUGGCAAAUCUUUCAGAAAAAAAGAAGGACUUACUUACCACAGGAGAACUCACACUGGAGAGAAGCCCUACAAAUGUAAAGAAUGUGGCAAAGCUUUUAGUCGAAAAUCAGACCUUAUUUGCCACAGUAGAACUCACACUGGAGAGAAACCCUACAAAUGUAAAGAAUGUGGCAAAGCUUUCAGUCGAAAAUCAAACCUUAUUCGCCACAGCAGAAUUCACACUGGAGAGAAGCCGUACCAAUGCAAAGAAUGUGGCAAAGCUUUCAGUCAAAAAUCAAAUCUUAUUUGCCACAGUAGAACUCACACUGGAGAGAAGCCCUACAAAUGUAAAGAAUGUGGCAAAGCUUUCAGUCGAAAAUCACACCUUAUUUGCCACAGUAGAACUCACACUGGAGAGAAACCCUACAAAUGUAAAGAAUGUGGCAAAGCUUUCAGUCACAAAAUAGACCUUAUUCACCACAGAAGAACUCACACUGGAGAGAAGCCCUACAAAUGUAAAGAAUGUGGCAAAGCUUUCAGUCACAAAAUAGACCUUAUUCACCACAGAAGAACUCACACUGGAGAGAAG
rnacentral:lncRNA from 1 species